rnacentral:rRNA from 1 species
UUGCAGUUAAAAAGCUCGUAGUUGGAUUUUUAAGGGUGUCUGCUUCUAGUGACCAUUAGUGUCUCUAAUGUUGCAGACUCCCCUUAUUUUGCCUCAGUGCUCGCUUGGGAUUGAUUUCCUGAACGUGCUUCUUGGGCGUGUUUACUUUGAGAAAAUUAGAGUGUUCAAAACAGCCUUGUGGUUGUAUAUCAUAGCAUGGAAUAAUAACUGACGACGUCGGUCGUUUUUUGUUGGUUCGGAUGGCUGAUGUAAUGAUUGAUAGAGUUAGUCGGAGGUAUUAGUAUUUUAUCGUUAGAGGUGAAAUUCAUGGAUCGGUAAAAGACUAACAACUGCGAAAGCAUUUAUCUAGGAUUUGCUCUUUGAUCAAGAACGAAAGUUGGGGGAUCGAAGACGAUCAGAUACCGUCGUAGUCUCAACUAUAAACUAUACCAGCUAGGGAUUGGCAAGCGUUGCUUGACCUUGUCAGAACCUUAUGAGAAAUCAAAGCAUUUGGGUACCGGGGGGAGUAUGGUCGCAAAGCUGAAACUUAAAGGAAUUGACGGAAGGGCACCACAAGUUGUGGAUCCUGUGGCUUAAUUUGUCUCGACACGGGAAAACUUACCAGGUCCAGACAUAGCAAGGAUUGACAGAUUGAUAGCUCUUUCUUGAUUCUAUGGGUGGUGGUGCAUGGCCGU